GGUUAAGCGACUAAGCGUACACGGUGGAUGCCCUGGCAGUCAGAGGCGAUGAAGGACGUGCUAAUCUGCGAAAAGCGUCGGUAAGGUGAUAUGAACCGUUAUAACCGGCGAUGUCCGAAUGGGGAAACCCAGUGCAAUUCGUUGCACUAUCGUUAACUGAAUACAUAGGUUAACGAGGCGAACCGGGGGAACUGAAACAUCUAAGUACCCCGAGGAAAAGAAAUCAACCGAGAUUCCCCCAGUAGCGGCGAGCGAACGGGGAGCAGCCCAGAGUCUGAAUCAGCUUGUGUGUUAGUGGAACGGUCUGGAAAGUCCGACGGUACAGGGUGAUAGUCCCGUACACCAAAAUGCACAGGUUGUGAACUCGAAGAGUAGGGCGGGACACGUGGUAUCCUGUCUGAAUAUGGGGGGACCAUCCUCCAAGGCUAAAUACUCCUGACUGACCGAUAGUGAACCAGUACCGUGAGGGAAAGGCGAAAAGAACCCCGGCGAGGGGAGUGAAAAAGAACCUGAAACCGUGUACGUACAAGCAGUGGGAGCACCUUCGGGUGUGACUGCGUACCUUUUGUAUAAUGGGUCAGCGACUUAUAUUCUGUAGCAAGGUUAACCGUAUAGGGGAGCCGCAGGGAAACCGAGUCUUAACUGGGCGUUAAGUUGCAGGGUAUAGACCCGAAACCCGGUGAUCUAGCCAUGGGCAGGUUGAAGGUUGGGUAACACUAACUGGAGGACCGAACCGACUAAUGUUGAAAAAUUAGCGGAUGACUUGUGGCUGGGGGUGAAAGGCCAAUCAAACCGGGAGAUAGCUGGUUCUCCCCGAAAGCUAUUUAGGUAGCGCCUCGUGAACUCAUCUUCGGGGGUAGAGCACUGUUUCGGCUAGGGGGUCAUCCCGACUUACCAACCCGAUGCAAACUACGAAUACCGAAGAAUGUUAUCACGGGAGACACACGGCGGGUGCUAACGUCCGUCGUGAAGAGGGAAACAACCCAGACCGCCAGCUAAGGUCCCAAAGUCAUGGUUAAGUGGGAAACGAUGUGGGAAGGCACAGACAGCCAGGAUGUUGGCUUAGAAGCAGCCAUCAUUUAAAGAAAGCGUAAUAGCUCACUGGUCGAGUCGGCCUGCGCGGAAGAUGUAACGGGGCUAAACCAUGCACCGAAGCUGCGGCAGCGACACUAUGUGUUGUUGGGUAGGGGAGCGUUCUGUAAGCCUGCGAAGGUGUGCUGUGAGGCAUGCUGGAGGUAUCAGAAGUGCGAAUGCUGACAUAAGUAACGAUAAAGCGGGUGAAAAGCCCGCUCGCCGGAAGACCAAGGGUUCCUGUCCAACGUUAAUCGGGGCAGGGUGAGUCGACCCCUAAGGCGAGGCCGAAAGGCGUAGUCGAUGGGAAACAGGUUAAUAUUCCUGUACUUGGUGUUACUGCGAAGGGGGGACGGAGAAGGCUAUGUUAGCCGGGCGACGGUUGUCCCGGUUUAAGCAUGUAGGCUGGUUAUCCAGGCAAAUCCGGAUAAUCAAGGCUGAGGUGUGAUGACGAGGCACUACGGUGCUGAAGUAACAAAUGCCCUGCUUCCAGGAAAAGCCUCUAAGCAUCAGGUAACAUUAAAUCGUACCCCAAACCGACACAGGUGGUCAGGUAGAGAAUACCAAGGCGCUUGAGAGAACUCGGGUGAAGGAACUAGGCAAAAUGGUGCCGUAACUUCGGGAGAAGGCACGCUGGUGUGUAGGUGAAGUCCCUGCGGAUGGAGCUGAGACCAGUCGAAGAUACCAGCUGGCUGCAACUGUUUAUUAAAAACACAGCACUGUGCAAACACGAAAGUGGACGUAUACGGUGUGACGCCUGCCCGGUGCCGGAAGGUUAAUUGAUGGGGUUAUCCGUAAGGAGAAGCUCUUGAUCGAAGCCCCGGUAAACGGCGGCCGUAACUAUAACGGUCCUAAGGUAGCGAAAUUCCUUGUCGGGUAAGUUCCGACCUGCACGAAUGGCGUAAUGAUGGCCAGGCUGUCUCCACCCGAGACUCAGUGAAAUUGAACUCGCUGUGAAGAUGCAGUGUACCCGCGGCAAGACGGAAAGACCCCGUGAACCUUUACUAUAGCUUGACACUGAACAUUGAGCCUUGAUGUGUAGGAUAGGUGGGAGGCUUUGAAGCGUGGACGCCAGUCUGCGUGGAGCCAACCUUGAAAUACCACCCUUUAAUGUUUGAUGUUCUAACGUUGGCCCCUGACCGGGGUUGCGGACAGUGUCUGGUGGGUAGUUUGACUGGGGCGGUCUCCUCCCAAAGCGUAACGGAGGAGCACGAAGGUUAGCUAAUCCUGGUCGGACAUCAGGAGGUUAGUGCAAUGGCAUAAGCUAGCUUGACUGCGAGCGUGACGGCGCGAGCAGGUGCGAAAGCAGGUCAUAGUGAUCCGGUGGUUCUGAAUGGAAGGGCCAUCGCUCAACGGAUAAAAGGUACUCCGGGGAUAACAGGCUGAUACCGCCCAAGAGUUCAUAUCGACGGCGGUGUUUGGCACCUCGAUGUCGGCUCAUCACAUCCUGGGGCUGAAGUAGGUCCCAAGGGUAUGGCUGUUCGCCAUUUAAAGUGGUACGCGAGCUGGGUUUAGAACGUCGUGAGACAGUUCGGUCCCUAUCUGCCGUGGGCGCUGGAGAAUUGAGGGGGGCUGCUCCUAGUACGAGAGGACCGGAGUGGACGCAUCACUGGUGUUCGGGUUGUCAUGCCAAUGGCACUGCCCGGUAGCUAAAUGCGGAAGAGAUAAGUGCUGAAAGCAUCUAAGCACGAAACUUGCCCCGAGAUGAGUUCUCCCUGAGACUUUAAGUCUCCUGAAGGAACGUUAAAGACGAUGACGUUGAUAGGCCGGGUGUGUAAGCGCAGCGAUGCGUUGAGCUAACCGGUACUAAUGAACCGUGAGGCUUAACCUU
rnacentral:rRNA from 1 species